UGCAACAAUAUUUCAUCAGUGGUGAACUGCAAAGCCUACUGGUGAAAUGUAGUUGCGUA
rnacentral:pre_miRNA from 1 species